GACGAACGCUGGCGGCGUGCUUAACACAUGCAAGUCGAGCGGUAAGGCCCUUUCGGGGGUACACGAGCGGCGAACGGGUGAGUAACACGUGGGUGACCUGCCCUCAGCUCUGGGAUAAGCCUGGGAAACCGGGUCUAAUACUGGAUAUGACUCCAUGACGCAUGUUGUGGGGUGAAAGCCUUGUGCGGCUGAGGAUGGGCCCGCGGCCUAUCAGCUUGUUGGUGGGGUGANGGCCUACCAAGGCGACGACGGGUAGCCGGCCUGAGAGGGCGACCGGCCACACUGGGACUGAGACACGGCCCAGACUCCUACGGGAGGCAGCAGUGGGGAAUCUUGCGCAAUGGGCGAAAGCCUGACGCAGCGACGCCGCGUGAGGGAUGACGGCCUGG
rnacentral:rRNA from 1 species